rnacentral:misc_RNA from 1 species
ACGAUUAGAGGAAACUGGUUGGUAAUCUCGAAACACCGUUUGAGAACCACGGGUCGCACUGAGAGGAACUGAUUAAGAGGUAUUAUUUUGCAUCGCUAUCGAGCAACUAUGCACGCUUAAGGGUCAGAGCAGGCCAUCUUAAGCCGCAGAUAAAUGUAAAAAAUAAGGCGAGCAUACGCGAAGGGAGCGAAAGGUCGGAUUACUCGAGUCCGUUCGAAGAAUCCGUUUCGAAAGCAGACGUUUCGUGUUCUGAUGAUCGAACAUCACAUAACAAUGGAAUAAAGUUGGGCCGAUACGUAGAAGUGAGAAAUUGUAAAAGAAAUCCUUCGCAACUGUACUUCCUAUUCGGCCGCAAGAAAUAAUAAUAAAAAGCGUCAUUGAUCGUGAACCACAAGCAUCGUUACAGAUAAAGACCUCUUGUUAGAUUACUUUGAUCUGGAUAACACGUGGAACUUCAGAAAGAAAUUAUCAACGCUAACGCAAGAGUGGAAAGAGACAGGAGUAAUAUCGCAAUGGAAAUCACUCGGUACACACUUCCUCGAAUCUCGAUCGGUAAACAUUCAAACAUGCAAACGCACAAAAAAUAAUGGCCUUAUGUCGAAGAAACAUGGUCGAUCGUGAUAAACGUACAAAGUACGGAUAGUCGAUGAUUCGAUACAAACACCAACGGAUAAACCGUUUAAGUCAAUAUUAACAUAUAUGUAGUAUUAUGGUGGAAGAACAAUCAAACUCGACAGUGAUACACAACUAUACAAACCAUUUCUUUUUAUCGACAGUACCAAAGUUUAAAUACACGACUCGAUGUAUACCGGUUAAUUUAAAAAAUAGUUUUUUCUCCGUGAUAUGAUUUAUUACAAUUGCUAAUUUAGUAUAGAUGAUGUUGCACUUUUUAAGCCAUGCGAAAUAAAUCAAACGUACAAAAAGAUAUAAGAAACGAAUGAAGAAAUUUUAAACAUAUAACCGCUUCUAACACCUCUUCCUAAUAUUACUUUUUAAGACAUUACACCUCGUAUUUUUUCUCGGACUUUGUUUCACUCGU